UUUUUUUUUUUUUUUUGCUGAGGAAGAUUCGCCCUGAGCUAACAUCUGUGGCAAUCUUCCUCUAUUUUGUAUGUGGGUCGCUGCAUGGAUGCAGACAAAUGGUGUAGGUCUGUGCCCAGGGACUGAACCCGGGCUGCUGAAGUGGAGAGUGCCAAACUUAACCACUAGGCUGUGGGGCUGGCACUAAGAUUUAUUUUUUGAUGGCAGAACACAACACAAUGACACUAGGAUAGAUGAGAUAGAAGAAACGUACCACUCUUUAUUACUUACUGCUCCAAAGGAGAGACUGUUGUCAGGGCCAUGCAGGCAGUUGACCCAGGGACAGAGCAACAGCAAGCUGGAGCUGUAGGAGGCACUUAGGUAUGGCGAGAAAGGUGAAUUUAGCUAAGUUUUGCGGGCUCCCUGUGGAUUGGCUAAUUUGAAUAAUUUUUUGGCCUCUGGGGACAGCCUCUAGGCCCCAUGGGGCAAUUAUGGCAAGUGCAUAGUGGCCUACCUUAUGUGAGUCUGAUAAGGGAAGUAGCUGAGGUGUGGACUCAAUCAGUUACUGAAGGAGAACUGACCAGCCUAUGGCAGGGCCUUAAAACUGGGUCAAGACAGCAUAUAAAAAAUUAUAUUACAUAUGGUUGCCAGCAACAUGAUUUUAUAUUAUUCUCUCAGUUUUCAUUAGGGGUUGGUAUAAGGGCUUGCCAUAAGAGAAAGGUUUCUGCAUCUUUUAAAAAGUACCACUGAACAUAGUGUUCACUGGUAUUCAUGAUACCAAUAUGAAGACUCAUCCCAUCAAUUCCUCUUAGCACUUAGUCUUAUUGACAAAUGUUUCCCAAUGCCUUGGUAUGCGAGCAUCUCAUUAUUGGGUAACAAUGCUGUGGCUUCUGUUUCUUCUUUGGAGUACAGACUUUUUCAAUAAACAGCUGCAGUCAUGAGCAGAGGCCACCACCUGUGCCUUGAGCAUGCCCAGUGGCAAGCAUGAGGCUUAUUAUUAAUUAUUAUCAUUAUUAUUUUAAAUCAGGAAGCAAAGUUAAAUUUCACAAUGAUAUUGUGAUAUUGAGCUAGUAUUUGUCUUUUUUGGACUUUAGUGUAAAAUGGAAAUAAAACCUGUCCUAUCACCCACAGGUUUUUCUAUAAGGUUUAAAUGAGAUGAUUUUAUAGGAAGUGCAUGAAACAAUAUUUCAUUAAAUAAUGUAAUUCAAAUAACCCAGGUUGCAGCCUGUGGGCAUAAAUGAAAUCAUUUGGUAUUAACAUCCAAAUAAAGGGAGCAGUUUAAGCUACAACCUGCUCAUGCAAGACACACCCUGAACCCCCAAGGCUCUCCGUGUACACCUACGCAUCUUCUGAAGAUGUCUCGCAGGAGGCCAGGGGCCUCUGUGGCCCCUCACUAAUAUUGCUUCUAUGUACUAGAAGUCAUGUUGCUGAUGGCAUCCCUGAGCCUCGGGGCUUACCCCUAGUCUGUGGAAGAAUAGGUAAAAUGCUACCUGCUUUAAUUUGGGGUUGUUUUCUAUCUGUCUGCUAUGCUGGAAACAAGACUCCUUGAGAAUUUUUGUGCCUGGAAUCCCACAUGGGCUUUCCUAGGGAAGUAAACUAGGUCUGUCUGCUCAAACUUCUCUUUUCACAGUAUCUAUACCAGGCUACUGGGCUGGGCAGGAUGACGGUCAAUGUGCGGUCACUUCUGUCCUCAUUUCUUCCUAUCACUAGAUUCCCAGCUCAGUGCAUGCAUAUACGUACAUAUUCAUAUCUUCUCCUCCUCCUUCUUCCCAGACCCCAAAGCUUUUAUGGAUGUCAAUUCAUGCACAUAGAUAAUGCCAGAGGUGCAGUCCAACAGCUUCUGCAAAUGGCAGUUCAGUGUGGAUUCACGUACCGCACCUCAUUACAAUAAUAAUGAUUCUGUUGAGUAUCGAUUAUUGUAAAUUAAGUCAUAUCCUUUUUUGGUUGUUGUUCUAACUGUGCUCCACACCCACAGACUCUCUCCUGUUAUUAAAAUGCUUCUUUCCACUGACUAUUGCUGUUUGAGACUCCAUCCCUGAGUAUGUCCUUGGAUUUGUCUAUUUCUUAUUGUUGACUCUUCAUUUCUUGUCCCAGUUUUCUUCUCAUGUUGGACCUAUCUUUACAUCUAGCUUCACUAGGCUCUCAGAAGCCCUAAUCUCUGGGCAAGCCAAAUCUACCAAAUCUAGAUCAGACUUCUUAGACCCUACCCAGGUCAACGCCUUUGCUUCCUACUCACCAGGGUGGAGACAAUAGGUGGCGUGGAUGGUAUGACAGUAUGAAUUGAUUUCUAAAAAUAAUAUAGAUUUCAUUCCCAUCAUUUCUAUGUAGGCCCUAAAUACAGGACAUUUGUGUUUUCUUACACUGUGGAAGACUGCUCGUCUUGGUAAAAACUUGAUUCAGAAUAGUUUACCUUAUUCAUUUGGGAACCAAUCACUAUAUACUUUUCCUUCUGUGUUUAGCUACUAUCUGACAUAAUGAUAUAGAGCAGUGGUGCUCAACUCUAGCUGCACAUUUUAAAUCACUUCCAGUGGUUUGGAAAAAAUGCCUUACUCCAGAUCAACUGAAUCACUCCAGGUGGAUCUAAGACAUGGGAAUUUAAAAAAACCUCUCUAGGCAUUUCUAAUAUCCAGCUAGGACUGGGAACCACUGGGAUUAGAAGAAGUUUUCAAAACAAUCACUUGCUUUCUAAUUUUAUACAGUAGUUGUACAUCCUACUAAAUAGCCUCCCUUUUCCCCCAAUCUAUUCUCUUUAAAAAUAAAACUAUUUAAAACAUACUUACCCCUCAUUUCUUUUCUAAUAUAGGGUAUUUGCAUAUCUGGAAAUGCGUUAACCAGUCUAUAAUAUUCAAUAGUUUAUAAAUGAAACCAUUAAUUAGAUUUUCAAAUUUCAUCCUCCAAAGUCAUGAAAAUGUAUAAUUCUCUCCUGAGGCUAUUUCCAUUAUUAACUAAAUGCAUUACAAAUUAGCAAACUAAAAGAAUAUGCACGAACUGUAAUUCACAUCCUGUAAAUUUCAGAUUAAAUGAGAAAUCUCAUUUUUCUUCAGGAUGUAUUGCUAUACUCUUCUUGUCUACCAUACUGAACUUAAUGAUGUAGAAAUUAAAUAAUUUUUGAAAUCUCCAGAAAUAUUAUAAAUGUUGGAAAAAAUAAUGAACAUUUUGCUGUAUUCACACAAAAAUCAAGCUUUUAAAAUUCCUGUUGGAGAUGAAAAAGCUUCACACUACACUCAAAGGGAGAGAGAAAGGAUGGAUUAUUUGCAGACUGAUAAUCAAAAAUUGAAAUAAAACUUAUUUUAAAUGGUCGAAAAGUACUUGAGGGGUACAGAAAAUAAUUUUUUUUUUUGAGGAAGAUUAGCCCUGAGCUAACAUCUGCUGCCAAUCCUCCUCUUUUUGCUGAGGAAGACUGGCCCUAAGCUAACAUCCGUGCCCAUCUUCCUCUAUUUUAUAUGUGGGACACCUGCCACAGCAUGGCUUGAUAAGUGGUGCGUAGGUCCACAUCCAGGAUCCGAACUGGCAAACUCUGGCCUGCCGAAGUGGAACAUGUGAACAUAACCACUACACUGCUGGGCUGGCCCCCAGAAUAUAAUUAAAAAAAAAUAAGAUGUUUCCUUCUGAUAGUCCCCCUUGGGAGAGUGUGAUAGGUUGGAAAGUAAAAGAAGAUUAGAGUCUCUGGCUUUUGUGUAUCCAGGAGGCACAGUCCCACAGAGGAGAUUAUAUUAGGUGCUGUUUGAAGCAAAAAUAUUUGAUAGAGAAAGUGAUUGUACUCUCAAAGCAAGAUUAAGGGUGGGGUCUCAACUGGAGAUAGCCACAUAUUCUGCCAGUUUUGAAGGAAUGGGUGGUUUUGGGGGCCACAGAGAGAGGGAUAUGUACCCCUGCUUCUGAGAUAGAAUCCUGAAGAGGUGGAAAGAUGGGAGAGGUUUGUAGAACCCAAAAUAGGAGGCGAUUUGCACUCAGUUUUCAGGCUUAGAGAAUUGGGAUGGACAAAGCUGCAGAGAGGAAGUGACUGCUUGAUGCAUCUGGGCAGAAGGGGCACAGAGAGCCCUGUGGAGAUGCCCUAUGGACUGAAUGUUUGUACACCCCCCUGCAAUUCAUAUGUUGAGACUUAAUCCCCAAUAUGAUGGCACUUGGAGGUGGGGGGCUCUCUGAGAGUUGAUUAGAUCACAAGGGUGGAGCCCUCAUGAACGGGACUAGUACCCUUAUAAGAGAGGCCCCAGAGAGAUCCCCUGCCAUAUGAGGGCCCUUCCACCAUAGGAGGACAUCGUGAGAAGUCAGCAGUCUGCAAUAUGGAACGGGACCCUCACAGAACUUGACCACAGAGGACCAAAUGUGUUCUACCGGAUCCUCUGGCAGUAUGAAAACACCCAGGAUUUAGGGGACCAGAAGAAUAGGA
ensembl:lncRNA